UUUUAAGUGUCCGACUAUAGGUUAUGAUCUUUUAAAUCAUUUAUGUUUUAUAAAAAAAACCUUAAAUA
rnacentral:tRNA from 1 species